rnacentral:lncRNA from 1 species
AUAGUUUAUUCAUGUCUACUAUCCAAUGUGAUUCUCUUACUUAUAUGAUUACCUUGAAUGUGAUUUGGAAUGACUUCCUAAAUCUUAUUCAUACUCUGGCUAGAGAUUCUUAAUCAUAUCAUAGAGUAUUCUCCCUCAAACAGUUUGAAGGUUAGAGAUCCUUUGUUGUGCAUUCACUUGCCUCCAUAGCUAAGUGGUUUAACCCCAACUAUGUCGUGGACACCCUCUGACGGAGUGACUUUGACAUAGUCAAAGAUUAGGGACCUAACCACAAGACGACUAUGAUGCCUCAGGUCAAAGGACUACUUUUCAUUAUCCCAACCAUGAGUUCUCAUGUGACAUGAGUAUGAGAACUCCUCGUUGAUCGUGUUCAGUGGACUCAUUCUCUAUUAAGCACCUACAAGCUUGUCUUGGUGUCAAUCACACCAAUAACUUGAGACCAGUCACUCUCCCUGAGAGAAGACACAGCACGUACUGAUCUUAACGGAUUGUCAAUGCCCAAUUGGCAAUCCUAUGAUCAGGAAUGUUUAGGAUAUGUAUACGAAAGAGAAUGGUUUCAUGAAUCUAACUUCUUUAAAUUACAUUCUCCUAAUUACAUAUUCCUUGGACUUAUCGUUUAAGCAUAUAACAUUUAUAUGAGACGGCUUAAAACAAUAAUCUUUUCCCUUAAUAUUAAACUAUAUUAGUUUAACAUGUGAAAUGUCCGUAAAGUAUCAUCAUAUGAUUGAUUUUAGGGCACAUUUCCAACAAUCUCCCACUUGCACUAGAGCCAAUCAGCUUGGUCAUCAAUGAUGAUACCUCUUCUAUAGUCAUUUCAAAAAUGGCUGAGUAGUAGGCCUAGACAAUGGAUAUCUAUAUGUUAUCCAUAGAAGCAACGUUGAGAAUAACGACGUCACCAUUAUACAUGAUUCUUAAUCAUGUGGUUUAGUCUCUCAUUUGAGUUCGGAUCAUGAUGAGACCUUGAUUCCCUGACUUGAGCUAUCACCCCAUUAGUGUCGUAGUGUCGGUACACUAAAGACAUUUUCUGGUUGGAACCAAAUAGAGAGUUCAUGAAUGAACUUUCUCAUCCAAACAACAUUGUUGUAAGCUUCUAUAUGGCAGUAUAUUUUGCAUUCACAAUGGAACACAGUAAAGUCUUUACUUUUAAUGUUUCCAUCCAAAUAUCUCUUUAGUCAUAAUAAAGAGAUAUCUGAUUAUCUCUUCAUUCAUAAUGAAGAAACAUCCAAUGAUGGAUUAGAUUCAUAAUCUAAUACAUUUACACUUCCAUUACGUUACUCUAAUUCUUCCUCAUUCUUGAGGAAUCCAUCCUUUAUUAUUUCUCAAAUACUUAAGGAUUCACUUGACAGCUGACAUGGUUCUGAUCCUGGGCUUGCAUUGAUAUCGUCUUGUACCGAUCUUGGUACAACUCAUAUCAACGUUUUUCAUACAAUAUGAAAUACAUAAAUCGCCUUUUUGCGUAUACAUAAAGGAUUCUAUUUACGCAUUAUUUCUUUGGGAGUCAAAGGGUACGUUCCCUUUGAGAAGAGCUACCUCCUAGUCUUACUAGAGUUGUUUUUCUGAUUGAAGUUUAUCAUCAUAUGAGAAACUUCCUGGCAUCUUUUGUCUAUCAUUAGGGCUUGAUAUAAUCCAAUUAUAUCCUGAAAUCUAUCAUUAUAGAUUUCCAUCCCAUGUUUAUGGCACCAAAUUUUAGCUCCAAAAUUCAUGCUCAUAUGAACUACAUCUACAACAUUUGAGAUGGCAAAUUUUCUAACAAAAUUUACAUUCAAAGAAGCAAGAAUAAAGCUUGUAACAAUUACAACAUUCAAAUCAUAAACUAUGAAAAUACAAAACCCAAAAGGACUCACCAACUACUAGACCUAGGCCCUUGAUACCACGUGAAGGAAAUUUUGUGAAAAACAUGUUCAUUUGAGCAACAUCUAUGGCAUCCAAUUAACAAUUAAAGGCGGAAUCAUGCUUAUAUGCACUCAAAAACAAAAAAUUACCCAUGAAAUUCAAAGCUUAGUAGAAGGGUGAACCAAGACUCAACUCAAAACAAAGUGAGUUGAGAAACUUUAUACCUUUGUUGAUUCCUCUUUGCAUAAGCAAAGGCUAAUCACCCAAGGAGAGGGCCUUCAUUCUUGCUUCUUAGCUCCAUGGAUUUUUUGGAUGAGAAUGGUUAAAAGGAUUCUCCCAGUUCCCAAAGUUGAGAACCUCUAAGUCUAUACACCAAGGUAGGACUUGAAGAAGAGAUGAGUGACCUAGAGGAAGUAAGAUUGCUAGCUAAAAUCCUCUAG